AGCUAUAUAUGAAAUGCUGUCUGUUAAAGAAAGGCUCAUUUUAGUGUCAAAUCCUUUCAACUACGUGCAUUGACACUUUACAAGGCGAUCGUUAUUGUAGCGAUGUCAUAGUCACAAACAAAAUAAACAACGUCACAAUAGUGUCAUUAGAUUUACAAAACAGAAAUGUUCUUUGUUUAAAUUACGUAAAACAAAAAGUUGUAUUGUAAUGAAUAACAAGAAAUCCAAGAAUAAAACGACUGAAUUAGUUCAUACUGAAGAGUUCGUGGCCGUCAGGGUAAAACGCUUAGUAUACUCCUAUUGAGUGAUGUCAGGGUUAAAGUUCUGCAGGCAGCGUGACAUCAGUAGCGAUCAUUGCCAUCUGGUCGCUUAUGGACAUCAGCAAACUGCCUAUGAAGAAGGUCAUUUUAUAGCGGUCAACGAACCGUGAAGGCGUGAUCAUUUUAUUUUCAAUGCAAUAGUCGAACUGACGUGCUCUCGGCACCCAUUUAAUUUUUUUCAAAUUUAUUACUAUUUGGAAGUAUUGUACAUUUACUGAACCGACUAUGAAUUAUACCGAAUGACCUCUUGUAUACAAUGUACAUUUAUUUAUUAGACCGUCAUCAAAAUAAAAACCAAAUAACUAGUUUCACAUUUAAUUUAAUCGCAUCGACACGUAAUUUUAGAAACUGGCAUCUCUAACAUUUUACAAGAAAUCAUAAUGAUGUUUUAGUUUUAGCUACGUAAAGUAUAAAGAAGUGUUGUUAAAAUUUCAUGAAUGUAUGUAUAUAUAUAUCAACAAAGGAAUAAUGCAUGACUGCGAUACACCCACGUGCUCCUAAAUUUUUAUUAACUAAGGUAAUUUAUCUACCCACUCUUCUACUCUCACUCACCUAGAAACAAAGCUCCAUUUAGAAAAAUAAAACACAUUAAGUUUUAAAGAAAAAGGCUUGGUUCCAGAUUUGAUUGCAGCGGCGGUCACUUCUUAUUUGACCCGUUUGUUACGUGCGAUCAUUUAUCGGUUGUUAUUUUCCAAAAAUAACGGCAAAGUGUGCCAAUGAGCCAUAUCUUUCAAUAGCGAAUCGCGUCGGACUCGCAGUGAGGUAAUGCGCCUUAAUAGAUUUUCAUAGUUUAUUUUUACUACUGUGAAUUCAAAUUAUCUCGACUUUAUCUUUUUAGGUUAAAUGAUUUUAAAUUAUGUUAAAUUCUAUAUUGCCACAAUGUACAGAUACAUUUGUUCAGCCAUGUGGAGAUUAGAAGGCAUAUGUAUAAAUACAAUUUCAGAAUAGGGAAAUGUUAGGAAAUUCUUAGGGUAAAAUAAAAUUUCUUAGUGUAUCGUAGUGCAAUACGUUAUAAAAUUGAAUGAAUUAUUCAAGGUUAUUUGUUCUAAUAAUGAAUUGAUAAAUAAAGAUGGAACCUCUUCAAAUAAAUAGGUCAAGACUUUCGCGGUAUAUUUCUAGAAAUAAUCGCGUUCUAAAAUAGUACCGAACGAAGUGGAAAUUGUAUUUAUGUUAUUCAGCAUUUAGCAAAUGCAUUUUAAAUUUCAAGUGUAUUUAUUCCUUUAGCACACGAGAAUCGCUAUAUGCGUUUUGCAUUAACUACAAAUCAACAACAUGACCGUGUGACCUUCCAGAAAUAUCCCAGGCCCCUCCACAACGCGUCUGGUUCGACUUUCUUCAUGACAAUAAAAUUUUGAUAUUUGUUUGUAGAGAACGCAAUAACGAACGGGGUUUCGGAAUCGAGUUGCAUGACAUAAUCACCGAACAGAUCCGGGCUAGUGUGCCAAAACGACUGCGGGCGCUAAGUCCGGCUUUAGUUUUUUUUUUUUGGCGUGUAGUCAAAGCGUUUAAGGCGCAUGUCUCUAAAACGCGAAAUAAUAAGCAUUUUUUUUUUUGUUAACAUUAACAUGACGAACUUGUACAAUUCAAAUAUAUGAAUGAAAUUCACUUUACAUUUUUACCUGACCUUGUGAAAAUCUCCUUAAAAAACUAAUAUUAUUAUAUCACCUUUUAAUUCUCACUGUAAACAUUUCAUUAUUGACCUGUUGUUUUGGAAUUAUCUCUGAAUGUCGCGAUUUUCUUAGCUUAAUAUGUGUGACUCCUAAUUAACGGCUUUUGUUUGUGUUCGCUUUCAACAUUAGGCUUUGGUCUUCAAUUUCAGAUUUAACAAGCACAAUUUUAAAUCCAUAAAAUCGUCAGAGGUGAUCUGCGAAUCUGGGAUAUAUUAUGUAUAAACAACACCCGGAGACAUGAAGUCGAACUCACAAUUAUUGUAAUAUGACAUAUAAAAUGUAAAAUUGUGUAUAAGUAAAUAAUGAAUGUAUGUAUGUUUGUGUGAGUGGCACUAUUUAUACACGUAACCAGCGCAUAUUUCCAAUAAAUUUCUUCAAAAACAAUCACUUUUUUUAUUGCCUUUGUAGGCAGACCAGCAUACGGCCCAUGGUGAGAGGUUACCGUCGCCCAUGAACGUCAGCAAUGCCAAGGACAGAGCCAACCUGCUGCCUACCUUUAAAAUUUACGCAGCAACGACUGCCCCACCCUUUAAGCCGAAACGCUACUUCACGGUAGAAAUAGGCAGAGCAGUGGUACCUGCCAGUGCGGACUCACAAGAUGUCCUACCACCAGCAAGACGUCAUACCACCAGUAAGACGUCCUACCUUCAAUAAAUAUUCUUUAUGUCUGGAGGGAUACUCUAACCGGAACAAAACGUCCGUAACGUAAGAUUUUUAUUAUUUAUGUAUAGUCGUCUAAGUAUGAUGGCUAUACAGUGUCUAAUGUAUAGUCUACGUGAUGACGGUUAUUAUUAUUAAUCAUAUAAAUAUCUGUUUCUUUGUAUAUUAUUAUUAAAUAUUUUUUAUAAAUCAUUGGGAAUAAAAUAAAGUUGAUAACUUUGUAAA